rnacentral:rRNA from 1 species
UACGUAGGGUGCGAGCGUUAAUCGGAAUUACUGGGCGUAAAGCGUGCGCAGGCGGUUCGUUGUGUCGGCGGUGAAAGCCCCGGGCUCAACCUGGGAAUGGCCGUUGAAACUGGCGAACUGGAGUGUGGCAGAGGGGAGUGGAAUCCUGGUGUAGCGGUGAAAUGCGCAGAUAUCAGGAGGAACACCAAUGGCGAAGGCAGCUCACUGGGACGGUAUUGACGCUGAGACGCGAAAGCGUGGGGAGCAAACAGG